rnacentral:tRNA from 1 species
GGCUCAGUGGCACAACGGUAGCGCGUCUGACUCCAGAUCAGAAGAUUGCGUGUUCAAAUCACGUCCGGGUCA